UAAUUUAAAAUUUAAAAUUUAAUUUUGAUCCAUUUUAAUAUCUAAAUUCAAAUAUGAAGAUAUGUUUAAUUUAAAAUUAUGAUAGGUUGAGAGAAUUUUUGAGAAACGAUGUGAAAAGAUUAAAAUUUUGAUGAGAUAUUUAAGAAACGCCUGGAUAUUACGUGUGAGAAAGAUUAACUAGAUAUUAUGUAGGCGGUGGACGUGUAUGAUAGGUGGAUUAAUGAGAUAUUUGAGAAAUUUACGGAUAUUACGUUAAGAAAGAAUUGGUGGUUACGGGUAUUGUGUGUGAGAAAAAAAUAUUUGAGAAAUGUAUAGAUAAAAGAUAUGAUAUAAAUAGGAGUGUAUUAUUGUCACAAAAAGUGACAGAUACUUUUAUUUUCAAUCGUUAGAUAAGAUCUAAUGGCAAAAAAUUAAUAUCUUUAUUUGAGAAUAAAUUAUUAUUUAGUGAAUUAUUUGAAAUGAUUGGUUGAAAAUUACCGGACAUGAAAAUAUUAGUAAAAAGGAUAGAGCCAUUUUUGGAAAGAGGGAAAAAUUUAAAACUCUCGCUUUUAUAAGUUAUAUAUAUAUAGAGGCUGGGGCUACUAUACUUAUAUGAGUAUAGAGCUCUUUGUACUCAUAAGUUUUCAGCGGUUCAUAUGAAAUAAUAUACGGUUAGGAUGAAAGUGGUUACGCUUAGGUUGAUAGUGGGCCCCCUAGGGUUGAGUGGGUGGUUGGUUGAAUAGUAUAAUCUAACGAGUGAAAAUGAUUAAAGGGUAGAUCUAACGGCCAAAAAUUUAUGAUUACAAGAGGCUCUAUACUCAUAAGAGUAUAGUAGCCGGACUCUAUAUAUAUAUAUAU
rnacentral:lncRNA from 1 species